ACGGGUGAGUAACGCGUGGGUAACCUACCCUGUACACACGGAUAACAUACCGAAAGGUAUGCUAAUACGGGAUAAUAUAUUUGAGAGGCAUCUCUUAAAUAUCAAAGGUGAGCCAGUACAGGAUGGACCCGCGUCUGAUUAGCUAGCUGGUAAGGUAACGGCUUACCAAGGCAACGAUCAGUAGCCGACCUGAAAGGGUGAUCGGCCACAUUGGAACUGAGACACGGUCCAAACUCCUACGGGAGGCAGCAGUGGGGAAUAUUGCACAAUGGGCGAAAGCCUGAUGCAGCAACGCCGCGUGAGUGAUGAAGGCCUUCGGGUCGUAAAACUCUGUCCUCAAGGAAGAUAAUGACGGUACUUGAGGAGGAAGCCCCGGCUAACUACGUGCCAGCAGCCGCGGUAAUACGUAGGGGGCUAGCGUUAUCCGGAUUUACUGGGCGUAAAGGGUGCGUAGGCGGUCUUUCAAGUCAGGAGUGAAAGGCUACGGCUCAACCGUAGUAAGCUCUUGAAACUGGGAGACUUGAGUGCAGGAGAGGAGAGUGGAAUUCCUAGUGUAGCGGUGAAAUGCGUAGAUAUUAGGAGGAACACCAGUUGCGAAGGCGGCUCUCUGGACUGUAACUGACGCUGAGGCACGAAAGCGUGGGGAGCAAACAGGAUUAGAUACCCUGGUAGUCCACGCUGUAAACGAUGAGUACUAGGUGUCGGGGGUUACCCCCUUCGGUGCCGCAGCUAACG
rnacentral:rRNA from 1 species